rnacentral:rRNA from 1 species
CAGCCGUAAACUAUGCUCGCUAGGUGUCAGGCAUGGCGCGACCGUGUCUGGUGCCGCAGGGAAGCCGUGAAGCGAGCCACCUGGGAAGUACGGCCGCAAGGCUGAAACUUAAAGGAAUUGGCGGGGGAGCACAACAACGGGUGGAGCCUGCGGUUUAAUUGGACUCAACGCCGGGAAGCUCACCGGAUAAGACAGCGGAAUGAUUGCCGGGCUGAAGACUCUGCAUGACUAGCUGAGAGGUGGUGCAUGGCGUAGACGUCU